rnacentral:rRNA from 1 species
AGCAGCCGCGGUAAUUCCAGCUCCAAUAGCGUAUAUUAAAGUUGUUGCAGUUAAAAAGCUCGUAGUUGAAUUUCGGGAUUGACGUGAUGGUCAUGCCUUAAGGGGUAUGAACUGUUACAGUUGAUUUCUCACCUUCUGGAGAAACUUGAUGUCCUUUAUUGGGUGUCUUGCGGAUCCAGGACCUUUACCUUGAAAAAAUUAGAGUGUUUAAAGCAGGCAUUUUUGCUCGAAUACAUUAGCAUGGAAUAAUAGAAUAGGACGGCAUGGUUCUAUUUUGUUGGUUUCUAGGAUCACCGUAAUGAUUAAUAGGGAUAGUUGGGGGCAUUAGUAUUCAAUUGUCAGAGGUGAAAUUCUUGGAUUUAUUGAAGACUAACUACUGCGAAAGCAUUUGCCAAGGAUGUUUUCAUUAAUCAAGAACGAAAGUUAGGGGAUCGAAGACGAUCAGAUACCGUCGUAGUCUUAACCAUAAACCUAUGCCGACUAGGGAUCGGACGAAGUUAAUUUUAUAAUGACGCGUUCG